CCGCACAAGCGGUGGAGCAUGUGGUUUAAUUCGAGCAACGCGAAGAACCUUACCAGGUCUUGACAUCCCCUGACAACCCAAGAGAUUGGGCGUUCCCCCUUCGGGGGGACAGGGUGACAGGUGGUGCAUGGUUGUCGUCAGCUCGUGUCGUGAGAUGUUGGGUUAAGUCCCGCAACGAGCGCAACCCUCGCCUCUAGUUGCCAGCAUUCGGUUGGGCACUCUAGAGGGACUGCCGGCGACAAGUCGGAGGAAGGUGGGGAUGACGUCAAAUCAUCAUGCCCCUUAUGACCUGGGCUACACACGUGCUACAAUGGGCGGUACAAAGGGCUGCGAACCCGCGAGGGGGAGCGAAUCCCAAAAAGCCAUUCGUAGUCCGGAUCGCAGUCUGCAACUCGACUGCGUGAAGUCGGAAUCGCUAGUAAUCGUGGAUCAGAAUGUCACGGUGAAUACGUUCCCGGGUCUU
rnacentral:rRNA from 1 species